rnacentral:rRNA from 1 species
AUGCACUGCACAUUUGUACUCUUGUACAGUUCUUUCGAUCCUGAGAUAGCGGAGGCUUUUAUCCUACGCACUGCUGUCUCUUUUGCACAAGACCAAGGGUUGACGUAUGUGAUUUUUGCCUCUGAUUGUCUUUCCCUGAUGCAAAGGAUCAAGUCUGACGUCAUCAAACAAACGGCCCUUGUGUUUGCGUCUUUCCCAUUCAAACGUGUUGGUCGGCAAUGUGAUGUUGUGGCUAAUGUUUUAGCCAAGUCUUGUAAAACUCUAGUGCGCUUUGUAUUUCACAUUUUGCUCCGUAGUGUAUCCGGCAGACUUUGUAUGACCUUAUUACUUAAUCAAUAA